UACGUAGGGUGCAAGCGUUAAUCGGAAUUACUGGGCGUAAAGCGUGCGCAGGCGGCUUUGCAAGACAGAUGUGAAAUCCCCGGGCUCAACCUGGGAACUGCAUUUGUGACUGCAUGGCUGGAGUACGGUAGAGGGGGAUGGAAUUCCGCGUGUAGCAGUGAAAUGCGUAGAUAUGCGGAGGAACACCGAUGGCGAAGGCAAUCCCCUGGACCUGUACUGACGCUCAUGCACGAAAGCGUGGGGAGCAAACAGG
rnacentral:rRNA from 1 species